UGGGGCGUCGCCAAAUUGGUAAGGCACCGGCCUUUGGAGCCGGCAAUGGAGGUUCGAGUCCUCCCGCCCCAGCCA
rnacentral:tRNA from 1 species